rnacentral:rRNA from 1 species
AGAGUUUGAUCCUGGCUCAGGAUGAACGCUAGCUACAGGCUUAACACAUGCAAGUCGAGGGGCAGCAUGGUCUUAGCUUGCUAAGGCCGAUGGCGACCGGCGCACGGGUGAGUAACACGUAUCCAACCUGCCGUCUACUCUUGGACAGCCUUCUGAAAGGAAGAUUAAUACAAGAUGGCAUCAUGAGUCCGCAUGUUCACAUGAUUAAAGGUAUUCCGGUAGACGAUGGGGAUGCGUUCCAUUAGAUAGUAGGCGGGGUAACGGCCCACCUAGUCUUCGAUGGAUAGGGGUUCUGAGAGGAAGGUCCCCCACAUUGGAACUGAGACACGGUCCAAACUCCUACGGGAGGCAGCAGUGAGGAAUAUUGGUCAAUGGGCGAGAGCCUGAACCAGCCAAGUAGCGUGAAGGAUGACUGCCCUAUGGGUUGUAAACUUCUUUUAUAAAGGAAUAAAGUCGGGUAUGGAUACCCGUUUGCAUGUACUUUAUGAAUAAGGAUCGGCUAACUCCGUGCCAGCAGCCGCGGUAAUACGGAGGAUCCGAGCGUUAUCCGGAUUUAUUGGGUUUAAAGGGAGCGUAGAUGGAUGUUUAAGUCAGUUGUGAAAGUNUGCGGCUCAACCGUAAAAUUGCAGUUGAUACUGGAUAUCUUGAGUGCAGUUGAGGCAGGCGGAAUUCGUGGUGUAGCGGUGAAAUGCCUAGAUAUCACGAAGAACUCCGAUUGCGAAGGCAGCCUGCUAAGCUGCAACUGACAUUGAGGCUCGAAAGUGUGGGUAUCANACAGGAUUAGAUACCCUGGUAGUCCACACGGUAAACGAUGAAUACUCGCUGUUUGCGAUAUACGGCAAGCGGCCAAGCGAAAGCGUUAAGUAUUCUACCUGGGGAGUACGCCGGCAACGGUGAAACUCAAAGGAAUUGACGGGGGCCCGCACAAGCGGAGGAACAUGUGGUUUAAUUCGAUGAUACGCGAGGAACCUUACCCGGGCUUAAAUUGCAGAUGAAUUACGGUGAAAGCCGUAAGCCGCAAGGCAUCUGUGAAGGUGCUGCAUGGUUGUCGUCAGCUCGUGCCGUGAGGUGUCGGCUUAAGUGCCAUAACGAGCGCAACCCUUGUUGUCAGUUACUAACAGGUUCCGCUGAGGACUCUGACAAGACUGCCAUCGUAAGAUGUGAGGAAGGUGGGGAUGACGUCAAAUCAGCACGGCCCUUACGUCCGGGGCUACACACGUGUUACAAUGGGGGGUACAGAGGGCCGCUACCACGCGAGUGGAUGCCAAUCCCAAAAACCUCUCUCAGUUCGGACUGGAGUCUGCAACCCGACUCCACGAAGCUGGAUUCGCUAGUAAUCGCGCAUCAGCCACGGCGCGGUGAUACGUUCCCGGGCCUGUACACACCGCCCGU